rnacentral:snoRNA from 1 species
GUAGCAUCUUUAACAGGUUUUGCACUGUGCAGUAGGUCAGGAUUUGAUAUCUGGUGCUAACAGGAAGUCUAUGCCUGCAGUAUGUCACUGGCUCUCAUUGUGCCUGUUGGACAACUCAUGAAGAGAAACAGAU